UGGUCGGAACCAUCGUCAGUUACCGUCGAUUUAUUACUUUAAACUUUUAUAUAAAGUCAAAGGUUAAAUUGUUAGAUUAUUAACAGAGCGCGUCAGAAGGAGAAAAGGUACAAGAAAAUUAAAAUAUAAGGCAGCAACGAACGACAGUCGUCCGUCAGACAGAAGGCCAAGUGAGCAGUGUUUUGAAACACGUGACCCUCAGAAACAACCACAGACUGAAGCACCAGCUCUCCGCCCACCGUCUAAUGAUGUUACUGAAGACAGCUGACAAGGCCACCAGUCUGUGCAUGUGGGCGUGAGCAGUGUUGUGUGUGCACGGACUUCCAAUCAGUGGAAGCUGCGGACGGCCCGUUGCCCUGCGCUUGGAGGCAGCCAUCUGUCAGCUGAUGCUCAGUCGCCACGGCAAUCAGAACGCUCUGCGGCGGGUCCAAUCUGUUCCACCACAGUCUCUCUACAGUGAAAUUGGCGGCAUCCCAAAUCCCCCCUGCUGUCAAUGCUGGAUAUUGCUCCUGUGAUGUGGAGGCUACUUGGUUCAGCCCAAUCGAUGUGGAUACACAGAGAAGACAGAUGCGGAGGGGUGUAACUGCUGAAAAUGGGAUGGAGGAAAGGAGCCGGUGGAAGUGGAAGAUGAAAACAUAAAAGGCCUGUCUCGUGUCUUUCCCUGCAGCUCAGAGAGGAGACAUCGUCUGAGGAGACAGAAACAAAAUGAGCAGAUCUCUGGAGGAUACACACUUGAUUCGACUAAAUCCGACUGUCAAAGCCUCAAAUGUUCUUCAGUUGUGCUUUA